GAAACGGUUGCUAAUACCGCAUAAUGCAGCGGCAUCUAUGAUGACAGUUGUUAAAGCGGGGGAUCGCAAGACCUCGCGCCUGAAGAGAAGUCCGCGGCAGAUUAGCUAGUUGGUAGGGUAAUGGCCUACCAAGGCGACGAUCUGUAGCCGGCCUGAGAGGGCGGUCGGCCACACUGACACUGACAUACGGGUCAGACUCCUACGGGAGGCAGCAGUCGGGAAUUUUGGGCAAUGGGCGAAAGCCUGACCCAGCAACGCCGCGUGAAGGAUGAAGUUUUUCGGAAUGUAAACUUCACAAGAAUGGGAAGAAUAAGUUGAGGCUAAUACCCUCGGCGAUGACGGUACCAUUUGUAAGCUCCGGCUAACUCCGUGCCAGCAGCCGCGGUAAUACGGGGGGAGCAAGCGUUGUUCGGAUUUACUGGGCGUAAAGGGCGCGUAGGCGGCGCCGCAAGUCACUUGUGAAAUCUCCGGGCUCAACUCGGAACGGCCAAGUGAUACUGCGGUGCUAGAGUGCGGAAGGGGCAACUGGAAUUCUUGGUGUAGCGGUGAAAUGCGUAGAUAUCAAGAGGAACACCUGCGGCGAAGGCGGGUUGCUGGGCCGACACUGACGCUGAGGCGCGAAAGCUAGGGGAGCGA
rnacentral:rRNA from 1 species